AUCACAGAAGGUGCUUGAGAGCUAAGAAUAGAAGACUUCCAGGACAUGGUCCAGAAGAACACUGGAAGCUGUACAAGGAGACUCUUUUGCAGGUGAUCGUGUGGAAACAUAGAUAAAUAAAGUAGUUUCUUGUAAACAGAGCGAAUCUUGAGACCUUUCUGUACCACCUCAUGUAUAGGGGAAGUGGUAGCUCAGUGGUUAAGGCUCUUGGUUGGGGGUUCAAGCCCUGGAAUCGCUGCAAUGUUUUUGACUCCAUCUGCACAACAUCACUGGGAUUUGUAAAGAAAUAAUUUCACACUGGUAUAAAGUUCAUCUGCUGUUCCUCUAUUGAUGUUUUAUUUCCAGUAUACAGUGAAGGGUUUUGGGUUGCCAGAUGACCCACAUCCCACAAUUGGGGUGAUUUCUUUGGUCAUAGAUCCUGAACACUGGCUGGUCCUACAUCAUACUGGGAGAGAAUGUCAUGGUUGUCACUGUCCUGCAACCCAAGAUUCCCUGUCUGUUAUCUUAUAAACAUGCAAGAUUAAUCAAACAGGGCAUAAUACGACUGAUUAGCAGACACUCUCAUCUAGAGCGCCUUUAAAUUAUCUCAUUUGUUUAUCUAAGGGUUAAGGGCCCCGAUUGAGGGCCCAACCAUGGCAGCUUGGUGGUGUUGAGAUUUGAACUCAUGACCUUUAUGAUGGGAAGUCCUACAGCGUAACCACUAAGCUACCACUUCCUAGUAUUAAAGAACAUCUUGUGGAGUUGGACAGUAGAUAUCUUGCUAGUCUGCCGUGUCCUCCAGCUGUCUCCAGGACAUGGGAGCAAAUGGUGGAAGAUGGUUGUUUGCAGCUCCCAGGUGAGAAGGAAUCAAAUGUACAAGUGCAGUUGUAUUUGUUAGUUCAGAUGGUGGUUUGGUUGCUUGGACACAAGGCCAGGAUCAAAACCAUGGCAUGCAACGGUAACAAAGCAAGGACCUGGAUCAGAAUAAACACAAACACAGGGAAUUUCAGACUUUUGGUUUCUUUCUGAUGAACAAAAGAGAGAUGGGUGUUUAUAGCUGCUAUGGCAGAAGUGAAUAAAAAAGUGUAAUAAAAAGUGAAAUCACUGUUAUAUUGCAAUGUAAUUUAAGGAAGAGUAAAAUAACCAACCAAAUAAAUCGUUUUUUUAUUGUUUGUUAUUAUUAUUAUUUGGAAAGAUUUCCUGUUGUGUUGGUUGAGACAAGGCCUGGGAGCGGUGAAAAGCUGUUUUGGUCACUACAGCGAGCUCUCCUACACCGUCAUACUGAACAUAGUGGGAGAGAUUAUAAAUCAGCAGCAGGAAUAUGUUACAUGUUUCAUGAAGGUGUAUGAUCGCGGGGACACGGAAUGCCUUCAGAUGUUCAUGCAGCUUUUCGGUUUAGUGUCCAUGCAGGCACAAGCUAAAGACUUUUUCAUCUGCAGCAUUAACGACAUGAUUUUAUUCACAUCGUUGUGCUAAAGUGAAAAAUCAAAUGGAACCGACGUGAAUUACUUCAAAUAAAAAUAAUGAAUCCUACAGUUUAAAUCAUGUACAACUAAAAAAUAUUAUUAGUGCAUUAAUAUAUAAUACUGAAAUCUUUGACUUUAUUUUCAUUUAAUCUUAAAUUCUUAUUAAAUUAUAG